UACGGAGGAUCCAAGCGUUAUCCGGAUUUACUGGGUUUAAAGGGUGCGUAGGCGGCUUAUUAAGUCAGGGGUGAAAGACGGUGGCUCAACCAUCGCAGUGCCCUUGAUACUGAUGAGCUUGAAUACACUUGAGGUAGGCGGAAUGUGACAAGUAGCGGUGAAAUGCAUAGAUAUGUCACAGAACACCAAUUGCGAAGGCAGCUUACUAAGGUGCAAUUGACGCUGAGGCACGAAAGCGUGGGGAUCAAACAGG
rnacentral:rRNA from 1 species